UUCCUGUGUCGGGUCAUCGGUGCCUCCGCAAGGAGGUGAAACGGGAAUGCGGUGCGGGGAGCGAUCCCCAAUGCCGUGGCUGCCCCCGCAACUGUAUGCGGCCAUUCGCGAUCCACCGCGCAUGAUUCUCCGAAGUCUCGCACUUCUGCGAAUCGUACGAAGCCACUGGACUUGCCGGCAGACUUGCCCGGCGAAGCGUCCGGGAAGGCGGAUCGGGUAACGACCGCGAGCCAGGAGACCGGCCGUUGACGAGAUUCAGCU
rnacentral:ncRNA from 1 species